AGGGGUAUGGCUCACGUGGUAGAGCACUUGUCCAGCAAGCACAACACCUGAGUUCGAACCUCAGUGCCAUUA
rnacentral:tRNA from 1 species